rnacentral:rRNA from 1 species
AGAUUAAGCCAUGCAUGCGUAAGUGCAUACCAGAUAUGGUGAAAACCGCGAAUGGCUCAUUACAUCAGUCGUAGUUUAUAAGACGAUAUGACAAGUGGAUAACUGUGGAAAAUCUAGAGCUAAUACAUGCACAAUAGUCCUGACGCAAGAAAGGAUGCAUUUAUCAGAUCAAAGCCAAUGUUUUCGUAAGAAUUCUAAACUGUGAUGACUCUGGGUAAAUUAUCGGAUUGAUCUGCUCUUAAGCAGGCGACGUUGAUUGCAAGUGUCUGACCUAUCAACUUUUGUUGGCAGUCGACAUUACUGCCAUGGUUGUAACGGGUAACGGGGAAUCAGGGUUCGAUUCCGGAGAGAGAGCAUGAGAAAUGGCUGUCACAUCCAAGGAAGGCAGCAGGCGCGCAAAUUACCCAAUCCCUGAUCGGGGAGGUAGUGACGAGAAAUAUCAGUACCGGCUUUUUGUUUGGUAAUUGAAAUGAGAACAAUGAAAGAAUUUUAUCGAGUAUCUAUUGGAGGGCAAGCUCUGGUGCCAGCAGCCGCGGUAACACCAGCUCGAAAAGCGUAUGUUAAAGUUGCUGCGGUUAAAACGCUCGUCGUUGGACAUCAGGAAGAACUCUGUGGACGAUCGAGUAUCGUUUCUGUGGAUGUAUUCCUUUAUACACCUUUUCUCUGUCGUGCACUUUAAUGUGUGGGACGGUAGAUGGUGAUUGUCACUUUGAGAAAAUUAGUGUGCUCAACACAGGCUUUGUGCUUGUAUAAUGCUGCAUGGGAUGACGGAAUAGGGCCUCGGUUCCGUUUCGUUGGCUUACGAAAGCAGAGGUCAUGAUUAAUCGGGACAGACGGGGGCAUUCGUAUUGUGGUGCUAGAAGUGAAAUUCUGUGACCAUCGCAAGACGAACAACUGCGAAAGCAUUUGCCAAGAAUGUUUUCAUUAAUCAAGAACGAAAGUUAGAGGAUCGAAGACGAUUAGAUACCGUCCUAGUUCUAACUGUAAACUAUGCCGACUGGGGAUUCGCCAGUGUCAACAAACUUGGCGAGCACCCUCCGGGAAACCAAAGUGAUUGGGUUCCGGGGGGAGUAUGGUUGCAAAAUCGAAACUUAAAGGAAUUGACGGAGGGGCACACCAGAAGUGGAGCCUGCGGCUCAAUUUGACUCAACGCACGAAAGCUUACUCGGUCCGAACACCGUGAGGAUUGACAGGUUGAAAGCUCUUUCUUGAUCCGGUGGGUAGCGGUGCAUGGCCGUUCGUAGUUGGUGAAGUGAUUUGUCUGGUUUAUUCCGAUAACGAACGAGACUCUGGCCUACUAAUUAGCGUAGUGAUCUCAUGUCGCUAUAAUGCUUCUUAGAGGGACAGGCGCAAUGAAAGGCGCACGAAGUAGAGCAAUAACAGGUCUGUGAUGCCCUUCGAUGUUCGAGGCUGCACGCGCGCUACAAUGGAGGGCGCAAAGCGCAUGUUGCCUCUUGAAAGAGAGUUGCAGAAUCGUAAAUAGCCUUCAUGACUGGGAUCGGAGAUUGAAAUUAUUCUUCGUGAACGAGGAAUUCCUAGUAAGCGCGAAUCAUUACUUCGCGUUGAUUAAGUCCCUGCCCUUUGUACACACCGCCCGUCGCUACUACCGAUUGAAUGAUUUGGUGAGGUCUGUGGAUAGGUGCAGUGGGGCCACAAACCCUAUUGAUUACCUAAAAGCUGACCAAGCUUGAGCGUUUAGAGGAAGUAAAAGUCGUAACAAGGUUU